GCGGGCCUUGUCGCUGUCAAUCACAAUCUCUUGUGGCGCUGCUCCUCCUCCCACCCAAACACCCGGUUCUCACCUCUUUGCUCUUGGCUACGCUGCAAUUAACAUAACCAGUUGUGAAAGCUAAAGCUAGUUAGCAUAGCCACCGAUGACGCGGAUGAACGGUUUUCCUGUAACUUGAUUCAGUGGACUCCUUGAAGGUGCAGUGCUUGAGUUUUCCAGAAGAUAGCAGCAGUCAGCUGUGUGCAGUGAUCUCACCUCCAUCAAGCGCCACUGCGGCAGCCCUCCCCUCUCUGAUGCUUCUGAAUAGAGGCUGAGAAUAGACGCAAGGCUGUUUCCAGUCAGAGCAGGAAUGCCUAUAUAUGGAGCUCCACGCCACGCUGAGCGAGCCGCAGAACUGCUGUGUUGUUAAUCCGAUGACUCAGCCACCUCUGUUUCCUCUUCCGCCUUCACCGAUCCAGACUGGUAAUCACCCAAAGUGGUUAAAACAGAGAUGAAGAAGAAGAAGAAAAAGGAGGAUAAGAAGAAAAAGGAGGAGGAGAAGACAAAGAGUUUGUCUUGAUGGAUCAGGAAAACAUUCAGUCCCAUCUACUACUGAACCGAGCUCUUCAGAUGUCCCUGUAGCGUCCCCGUUUUCUGCGUUUCCAUUCUCACGGUUGUCAUAAGAGCCCAGAAACAUGAGAAAAUGCUUGUGGUGGCAGAAGAAGAGCGACAGGUUGUAGGGACAAGUGUGCUGUCUCCCUGACAGCAAAUGGACCCAAAUGGAUCCAAUUAGACGGCAGUCUUUGUGCCAGAACGUCC